rnacentral:tRNA from 1 species
CAAGUAAUGAAGUAAAAUAUACAUUUAGUUUCGACCUAAAAUUAAGAGCUUACAAGCUCCUUACUUGA